GGCCUACUGUAUUUAUAGUAGGUCGUUCCUUCCCAGUGAGAUGACUUAAACGGAUGCGGUAAAGCGUGCUAAGGUAGCUAAAUUAUGGCCCUCUAAUUGGGGGCCCUGUGAAUGGAUUGACGAGCCUAUAACUGUCUCUAGCUGAAUUAUAUGAAAUUGAAUUUUAAGUGCAAAUGCUUAAAUAUAAGUGAUAGACGAGAAGACCCCGUGAAGUUGUUAACUAAGUGGCAGAAAUUUCUUACCACUUUUGUUGUUGGCUGGGGCAGCAAAAGAGCAAGAUCAGACUCUUUCUUUUCUUUGUUUGAUAGACGAUCCACUUACUUUAUUUAGUGAUUAACAGAAGAAGUUACUCCGGGGAUAACAGCGUUAUUUUCUUUGAUAGUUCUUAUAGAUGAGAAAGUUUGCGACCUCGAUGUUGGCUCCGGAUAUCCUGAGGCUGUAGGCGGUCUCAAUGGUUGGUAUGUUCGCCCAUUAAAAUCCU
rnacentral:rRNA from 1 species